GUACAGAGGUCUCAAGCGUUUGUUCGGAUUCAUUGGGCGUAAAGGGCGCGUAGGCUGCGGGGUAAGUCAGGUGUGAAAUCUCAGAGCUCAACUCUGAAAUUGCACUUGAUACUGCUCUGCUAGAGGACUGGAGAGGAGAUUGGAAUUCACGGUGUAGCAGUGAAAUGCGUAGAUAUCGUGAGGAAGACCGGUGGCGAAGGCGGAUCUCUGGACAGUUCCUGACGCUGAGGCGCGAAGGCCAGGGGGAGCAAACGGG
rnacentral:rRNA from 1 species